ensembl:snRNA U6 U6 spliceosomal RNA
GUGCUCGCUUCAGCAGCACAUAUACUAAAAUUGGAACACUUACAGAGAAGAUCAGUAUGGCCCUUGUGCAAGGAUGACACACAAAUUCGUGACGCGUUCCAUAUUUUU